rnacentral:rRNA from 1 species
CCUGCUCUCUGGGACAAGGCCUGGAAACGGGGUCUAAUACCGGAUACUGAUCCGUCUGGGCAUCCAGAUGGUUCGAAAGCUCCGGCGGUGCAUGAUGAGCCCGCGGCCUAUCAGCUUGUUGGUGAGGUAGUGGCUCACCAAGGCGACGACGGGUAGCCGGCCUGAGAGGGCGACCGGCCACACUGGGACUGAGACACGGCCCAUACUCCUACGGGAGGCAUCAUUGGGGAAUAUUGCACAAUGGGCGAAAGCCUGAUGCAGCGACGCCGCGUGAGGGAUGACGGCCUUCGGGUUGUAAACCUCUUUCAGCAGGGAAGAAGCGAAAGUGACGGUACCUGC